rnacentral:lncRNA from 1 species
CUGAAGACUACAUCAGAGAGACACUGACUUAAAAAAAAAUCAAGUUUUGUUCUAUGGAAGAAGACGUACAAAUGGGAAAUAUUACUCCAACAUACAAGUGUUGUCUUUAUAACUGGCAGCCUGCAAGCCCUGCCUUCACUGCAGUUCUGGCUCCAGGAUCUCCCAGGGAUGCAGCAAUGGAUUCUUUCUGUGUGUGCAAACCACUCACCCUGGACAUUCAGAGGUUAACGGAGCUUUUGAAAGCCAGCCCAUUGAACCAUUCCUCUAAAAUGGCAUUUUGCGUUUUCUUCCAAAAAGACUCUUGA